rnacentral:rRNA from 1 species
GAUGAACGCUGGCGGCGUGCCUAAUACAUGCCAGUCGAGCGAACGGACGAGAAGCUUGCUUCGCGGAUGUUAGCGGCGGACGGGUGAGUAACACGUGGAUAACCUACCUAUAAGACUGGGAUAACUUCGGGAAACCGUAGCUAAUACCGGAUAAUAUUCUGAAUCGCAUGGUUCAAAAGUGAAAGACGGUCUUGCUGGCACUUAUAGAUGGAUCCGCGCUGCAUUAGCUAGUUGGUAAGGUAACGGCUUACCACGGCGACGAUGCAUAGCCGACCUGAGUGAGUGGUCGGCCACACUGGAACUGAGACAGGGUCCAGACUCCUGCGAGAGGCAGCAGUAGGGAAUCUUCCGCAAUGGGCGAGAGCCUGACAGAGCAACGCGGCGUGAGUGAUGAAGAUGUUCGGAUCGUAAAGCUCUGUUACUAGUGGAGAACAUAUGUGUACGUAACUGUGCACAUCUUGACGGUACCGGGUCAAGAAGCCCCGGCUAACUACGUG